UUGACAUAUAACUGUGUUUGGCCUGACUUCUUUUAGGUUCGUGAAGUGGUGGGCCGGAAUAAUUGAUUGACAUGACACCAUUAUAAUUGUGUCAUGAAUACUUUCCUUGGCAUGAUAUUGUCAUGACAACUUGACAUAUAACUGUGUUUGGCCUGACUUAUCUUCUAGGUUUAUGAAGUGAUGAGCCUGAACAAUUGGCUGUCAUGACACCAUUAUAAAUUAGAUAUACUCAACAUAUUGAAGGUGCAUUGCAGAUGUAACCCACUCGAAAAUAGCCUACUAAUAGGAUUACAUUAUUCUAGUUUAAUAUCUAAUUUCUUGAUUACUUUUAGUUAUGUUUUCCCUGCACACCGUAUUUGUCCAGUAGGUGGCAGUGGUGGCGCUGCAUAGAGGGGAAACUGCUACACUGAUUCUUAGAGAAGAAGACAGAAAUCGCAAACAGCAGGACAGCAGAACAUAGACCUUUCUUUUACUGUCUAUGACAUAGACAGUAAAACAGCAGAACGAUAGUGAGCUGAAGCCAUAUUUAGAUUUUCCACACUGAGAAGAAAAGUUAAAAAUAACAUUGAAUAGCUAGUUAAAAGGGGUUUUUCCACCAAACCUACUUCUAAGGAAGGAAUAACAGCAAAGGGUCGAAAUUACUACAAGGAGUUUACUUACUUGUAUGAGUUUUCUCCGGUUGUUUUUUUGUUUGGAUGCAUGCUUUGAGAGAGCAUUGGACAAAUUCGCCAUUGGACACGGGAGGCAGAAGAGCAGAGGGCGCGAAUGAUCAUCUUGCCUGCGACAUGAACUGCUUCUACUCAAUAUUUCUUCAUUUCAUCGUAGCCUACAGAUAAGCGCGAGAUCUCACCACUUAAAAAAAAACAUACUACCCAGGUAGAUGGACUUUGGUUUAUUAUUUUGGGGUUAUUUUAUCAGAGCUCUGAGGUCAUUUUACUUUAUAUUUUUCUCAACUUGUGUGAAAAGGUUGAAAACUAAGAGAAAUACUGAAUUUUCACAACUAAAAGGACAGAAAAGAGAAACAAGGUCAUACUGUUUGAUGUUUAAUAAAUGCGGGCUAUAUGUUCUGGGUAAACUAUUUUGGUACUUUCAUUUGUCUACUCCUCUUGUGAAAAGUUCCUUAGAAAUGCAGAACUUUACUCUACAUUAAAAUAAGUGCCCCUUACACAGACAAAUAUGGCGUCUCACGGGAAAUCGAACCCCUCAGUCCCUCAAAACACACCUUAAAAUGAUUGAAUGGUACUACUGGUUAGGAAUCCGUCGUCGUAAUGGUUUGUUGGGUAGACUCGUGCAUGAUUUGAAAAAGCUGCAGAAAUGAUGGCAAUGAAAUGGUGCUUAAAGACUAGUAUGUGAAUAGUUGAAUGCAUGUUCCACAUGCACAGUUAGGUUAGCUGGCAUGGUAACAUGUCCAUGUGUUAUGGUUUUGCAUUGCUGAAAUAAACUCAUAAGUCAUGA